rnacentral:rRNA from 1 species
GAUGAACGCUGGCGGCGUGCCUAAUACAUGCAAGUAGAACGCUGAAGGAGGAGCUUGCUCUUCUGGAUGAGUUGCGAACGGGUGAGUAACGCGUAGGUAACCUGCCUGGUAGCGGGGGAUAACUAUUGGAAACGAUAGCUAAUACCGCAUGACAACAGUUAUUGCAUGAUAACUGUUUAAAAGGGGCAACUGCUCCACUACCAGAUGGACCUGCGUUGUAUUAGCUAGUUGGUGAGGUAACGGCUCACCUAGGCGACGAUACAUAGCCGACCUGAGAGGGUGAUCGGCCACACUGGGACUGAGACACGGCCCAGACUCCUACGGGAGGCAGCAGUAGGGAAUCUUCGGCAAUAGACGGAAGUCUGACCGAGCAACGCCGCGUGAGUGAAGAAGGUUUUCGGAUCGUAAAGCUCUGUUGUAAGAGAAGAACGAGUGUGAGAGUGGAAAGUUCACACUGUGACGGUAUCUUACCAGAAAGGGACGGCUAACUACGUG